UACGUAGGGUGCAAGCGUUGUCCGGAAUUAUUGGGCGUAAAGAGCUCGUAGGCGGUUUGUCGCGUCUGCUGUGAAAACUCGGGGCUUAACUCCGGGCCUGCAGUGGGUACGGGCAGACUAGAGUGCGGUAGGGGAGACUGGAAUUCCUGGUGUAGCGGUGAAAUGCGCAGAUAUCAGGAGGAACACCAAUAGCGAAGGCAGCUCGCUGGGACGGUACUGACGCUAAGGCGCGAAAGCGUGGGGAGCGAACAGG
rnacentral:rRNA from 1 species